rnacentral:rRNA from 1 species
UACGGAGGGGGCUAGCGUUGUUCGGAAUUACUGGGCGUAAAGCGCGCGUAGGCGGACCUGCAAGUCGGGGGUGAAAGCCCGAGGCUCAACCUCGGAACUGCCUUCGAUACUGCGGGUCUCGAGUCCGGGAGAGGUGAGUGGAAUUCCUAGUGUAGAGGUGAAAUCCGUAGAUAUUAGGAAGAACACCAGUGGCGAAGGCGGCUCACUGGCUCGGUACUGACGCUGAGACGCGAAAGCGUGGGGAGCAAACAGG